CCCCUUUACAACAGAACAUAGGAAGUAGAGGCCCUACUUAUCUUACCCCCUACGAGUCCGGUCUCCGGGGGCGCUAAUUCCAGGUACCGAUUCCAAAGGAAAGGUACCGAUCAGAACAGAACAGAACAGAAGCAAGGUACCGAUUCAUUCCUGAGGUACCGAUCUUGCUUUGCUAUUUCCAAUGAUGUGAUGCUUUGCUAUUCAGGGGAAUUCCUCCUAGCGUCGGAAACUCUAUUUAUUUAGGAUCGGUCUUCCUCGUUCGUUUGAAACUUCCAGGAAAAAACUUCGAAUUGGGAGGGCGAUCCUCCCGGUGAACUCACCGUACCCCAAACCGACACAGAGGUGAACAAGUAGGAGGCCCUCUUCCUCCCUUUUUCUGAAUCUGGGAGAGAGGCAAAAGAGAAGUCCAGAGAGACCUCGACUCUUUCAGGGAAAGGAGGGAGAUCGAAUGCGAGAUGGAGUCCCUGCCGAAUGGAAUGGACA
rnacentral:lncRNA from 1 species